UGGAGUUGCAGGUAGAUAUACGCUGUAUACCCGUGUAACCGAAUUUACGUUUAAGUGUCAUGUAAUGGCACCGGUCACGGGGCCGCCGUAAGGCGGUUUUUUAGUUA
rnacentral:ncRNA from 1 species